rnacentral:lncRNA from 10 species
AGCUCUUCUGUGCAACCAAAACAGUGGAGCUGUGACACAGACCUUAUGGCCCACAAGGUGGAAAAUAGUUACUCUCUGGCUUUUUACAGAGAAAAGUGUGCCAAGCCCUGUUCUCUACCCUUCCUACUUACGCAGUGGGCAAAGGGCCAGGCGGGAUGUAGGCUCAGGCCAAACGGAAGUGGGCAUUCACCCGGGUACAUGGCUGCAUGCCAGGAGUGUUUGCCAAGAGACCAGCUAGGGUAGGAGAUGGCAAGAGGGAAGGAAAGAAAAGCAGACGUAGGUGUGGUCAGAAAGGGAGACGGGAACGGGCCCAACAUCCAUUUCAAGGUUUCUUUCUAGAGCUGGCUCCAACCUCAAAAAGAGGGGAGGCAUCUCUGGCCCCGCUCUGGCAGCACAGUGACGCCAUCCUCCUACAGCUUCGGGUUCGCACAAUCAGUCCUCAUGCACGGCACGUCCAAGACUACACAGAGACUUCAUGGCCUGGCCAUGGACCCAACCCCAGGUUUUUCAUUCUCUAUGAGGGCAGAUCAUUCCACUCCGAGACAACCAAUUUACAGAACUGAGAAAGCGACACUCUGAUAGAUGGACAAAAGCCUUUCUACUUCAUGCUAUCAAAAUCAACACUAUUAAAACUUACACACUGACAACGUAUUUGGGCAACAGAUGGAUGAAGCAGCCAAGUGAGAGGGCCUGAAAUCUCACCUGAUGGAUGUUACAUUUUCUUAUGCAGAACACAGAACUGCUUCACUUACCCUUCCUGUAAUUACAUAAAAUUUCCAAUUUUACAGAGAAUGUGAUACGGAAUGGGAUAUAACCUUCCUCUCUCCUGUGUUAAACCUAGAAUGAAUACUAAGCAUAAAAAUGGAGGAGGGGCGUUGAGACAACCACCCACCCAGCACCCGCAACGGCUUUGUUCACCUGUUCAUGCGUCCCCCCUACACACCGUGAGCUCCUCCUGGCACCCGCGCAGCACCGAGUGGCUGCCUUCUCUGAACGCCCUCCCUCCCUGGCAGGGCGGUGGAGGAGGCGGAGGCCCCCUGCCUUUGAGUGUGAAGACGGGAGGACAAUGAGACACAGGGCCCACUACACCUGUGUGGCCGGAAGACUACUUUCUCAUUCCCCUUUGGGCUCUGCUCCCCUGGCUGGAGCUGGGGUCCUUGUUGUGGAAAUUUUACAUAUUUAAUUACUACAUAAACUGAUGGCCAGGGGUGAGACAAGGGCAGCUCCCUUGGCAAUUCAAGUGAAAUGUUUCAGAAAGACUCGCUAAAGGUGAAUCACUUAAAAACGUGGCUGGCGGGCCGGGUGUGGUGGCUCACGCCUGUAAUCCCAGCACUUUGGGAGGCCAAGGUGGGCAGAUCAUGAGGUCAGGAGAUCAAGACUAUCCUGGCUAACACGGUGAAACCCUGUCUCUACUAAAAAUACAAAAAAUUAGCCAGGCGUGGUGGUGGGCGCCCAUAGUCCCAGCUACUUGGGAGGCUGAGGCAGGAGAAUUGCUUGAACCCGGGAGGCGAAGGAUGCAGUGAGGCGGGAUUACACCACCGCACUCCAGCCUGGGCGACAGAGUGAGACUCUGACUCAAAGAAAAAAAAAUGUGGCUGGCAAGCUAAAUGACAUUAAACACCUGAGGAAAAUGCAGUCAACUCUAGGAGAACUCUGGGCAUGGAUGGCUUCACCAGUGUCCCUGUGUCAUGGCGCCAUCUUGGACUGGAAAUCAAUGAUGUCAUCAUGCAUGUGGGUUACACAGGAGACACCAUGGCCAAACCCACACUCAGAAAAGACCUGCACCCAACAGAAAGACUGGAAGACCCAUGCACACUCGGCUUUUCCUUGUAUUUUUAAUGAUUCUUCUAGACUUUGACUUUUUCAACUCACUGCCCAAUCACUUCUGGAGCCUCACAAGAUCUAGUUCAUCAUUCUGGACUCUACUGUGGCUGUGGGGGGUGAAGGUUUUAAUCCAAGGUUUCGAAAAUCACCACCUAAAAGCAAGCCAAGGAGAGUGUCUCAAGGAAGGCGUCCUAGGCUUUGAUUCUGACCUCGGAACUCUCUCGCAUGAAUAAGUGGGGGGACACCAUGAGCCGCCCAUGUUGGGGGGAGGCGGCCUGGGGAAUGAAGGGUCUGGAGAUUGUCAUAAGUCAAACAUGUGGGUUCACGUUUCUCACACCAGCUCCACGACCUUUGCUAAAUGACUCAUCUUUCCUGGGCCUCGUUUUCCUCAACUGUAACAUGGGGCUCUAACGUACAUCAAGUUCAUGUGGGUUUCUCUUGCUUUAAUUUUUCUUCCAGCCUGUAGACCAUGUUGAGGGCAGGGACCCUGUCUUUUUUUUUUUUCUUUGAAAUAUACCAGACACUGAGUGCCAAAU